rnacentral:rRNA from 1 species
GAUCAUGACUCAGGAUGAACGCUAGCUACAGGCUUAACACAUGCAAGUCAAGGGGCAUCAGUUUGGUUUGCUUGCAAACCAAAGCUGGCGACCGGCGCACGGGUGAGUAACACGUAUCCAACCUACCUCAUACUCGGGGAUAGCCUUUCGAAAGAAAGAUUAAUAUCCGAUAGCAUAUAUUUCCCGCAUGGGUUUUAUAUUAAAGAAAUUUGGUAUGAGAUGGGGAUGCGUUCCAUUAGUUUGG